CUUGUACACACCGCCCGUCACACCAUGGGAGCGGGAUGUACCAGAAGUAGGUAGGCUAACCGCAAGGGGGCCGCUUGCCACGGUGCGUUUCGUGACUGGGGUG
rnacentral:rRNA from 1 species